CGUCACUUCCGACACCGGCUCCCGGGCGUGUGCGCCGCUCCUCCUGCAGCCGCGGUCGGUAAUGCCGAGCCGGGUGAGUGGAGUCAGAGAGAGUCUCACGGAGGGAAUCCGAGAGGAUGUGGGGCCAGCAACAUGGAAGGGGAAGGUGGGAAGCCUGCGGCUGUUGUCGCGGUUGUGACUGAGCCUCGGUUUACCCAGCGAUACAGGGAGUAUCUCGAGAAGCAGAAACUCCUGGAUAGACGGCACCGGGUAGAAAAGAUGCCGGAUGGCACGGUGGCGCUGCCCGUGCUGGGAGAGACUCUCCCUGAGCAGCACCUUCAAGAGCUGAGGGAUCGUGUGGCUCCAGGCAGCACCUGUAUAGUAACGCAGCUCCUGGAUCCUGUUCCCUCAAAGAAGGCCCAAGGUUGUUCACCUGCCCAAAGGCUGUGUCUUGAAGUGAGUCGCUGGGUAGAGGGCCGGGGAGUGACGUGGUCACCUCAGUUGGAGGCUGAUUUGCCCAGAUCUUGGCAGCGACAUGGUGACCUCUUGUUGCUGAGCGAGGACUGUUUCCAAGCCAAGCGAUGGAAAAAUCUGGAACCAGACCUCUGGGAGACUGUUGCGUCUGCACUUGGCGUCCAUCGUGUGGCCAAACGAGGGCGGGUAUCACCAGACGGCACUCGAACACCAGCAGUGACUCUGCUGCUGGGCGACCAUGGCUGGGUAGAGCAUGUGGAUAAUGGGAUCCGAUAUAAGUUUGACGUGACCCAGUGCAUGUUCUCCUUCGGAAACAUCACUGAGAAGCUUCGAGUGGCAUCGCUGCCCUGUGCUGGAGAAGUGCUGGUGGAUCUCUAUGCAGGGAUUGGUUAUUUUACAUUGCCCUUCCUAGUCCAUGCUGGUGCUACCUUCGUCCAUGCCUGUGAGUGGAACCCCCAUGCUGUAGUUGCUCUGAGAAAGAACCUUGAUGUCAAUGGAGUGGCAGAUCGGUGCCAAAUACACUUUGGGGAUAACAGAAAACUGAAGCUCUCAAACAUUGCGGACAGGGUGAACCUGGGACUGAUUCCCAGUUCUGAAGAAGGCUGGCCCAUUGCCUGCCAAGUGCUAAGACGGGAUGCAGGGGGCAUUUUGCAUAUCCACCAAAAUGUGGAAUCUUACCCAGGCAAGAAUCUCCAGCCUCCUGGAAGCAGUGAAGUGGAGAAGGAGCAUCGGCCUUAUCCUCAGCAAAUUAUCACCAACCAAUGUACAAAUGGAGCAACCACGGGUUCUAGGAGAAGAACGCUGUCAGCAGCCACCAAACCAGAGUGGCAGAGGUGGGCGGAAUCUGCAGAAACUCGUAUUGCCACCCUUCUUCAGCAGGUGCACGGGACACCAUGGAAGACACAAAUCCUGCACAUCCAACCAGUGAAAUCCUAUGCUCCCCACGUGGAUCAUAUAGUGUUGGAUUUGGAAUGCCGCCCCUGUCCUCUAGUUGGCUAGAGAAGGUGGAUCCUGAGCCACAAGGAUCUACAUGCUCUAGAUCAGUACAAGUCAUCUUGUUUGUCUUCCGUUAACACAUUGAGAACGAACUACAUAUCUGGGAGAAGCAGUAUGGCUUAUUGAGAUGAGGCCUGUACAAUGAAUUCUGACCUCAGUCCUGUCUUACCUUGGGCACUGUGAUGAGGGCCAGAGACACAGAGUUUUCUCCAAGCACUUGCUGGAUUGGCCUGGUCAGGAAGAGGCAUCUAAUGGAACCAAGGAAAAAAGACUGAAAGGAUCAGGAGGCUCAUGGAGUGUUUGUCACCUCAGUCCAGGAAUGUGUGCUGAAGGCUUCCUUUGUGAGCGUCAGUAUUAGUGGCCGGGUAAGGCACCCACUUGAUGGAGAGGUUGUGAUUAAAAAACAGUAAUGAUAAUUUUAUUAAACUCCCUCAACCGUGAGUUGCUUGGUUCAUUAACUUCAUAAUUUAAAUAAAUUGUGUGCAUAUAUUGAUAUAGAGUAUAACAUAUACGUUUUAAACAUAAAAACAUUUAAAAUGAUGGCAAAUACAUAGCAUUUUUAAUUCACUUUCUCCCACCUGGGCACACCCAAUAUAUGUUAUUCUGAACAGCCUCAGGGUGCAACCACUUCAAAUUGGGCAAGCCAUAAAACCGGUCAUUUUCUUGGCCUUUGGUAGUUUCCUUUUGUGUGUACUGUGUGUACUGAUCAUUACUCAGCUGCUACUUUAGGGGAAUGGUCAGCAGAUGUCUGGAGUUCUCUGUAGCUCUCUCCACUCUGGCAUUCUACUCUCUGGACUCAUUCCUGGGUUCCUAGGACUCCCUGUUCCAUCUCCACCUCAGGGAGUCUCCUGGGCUCCACCUGGCUUCCCCCUCAAGCCACAGCCCAGAAACUUUCUCCAGGCAGUAAGAUGGAGCAGUUCAGUGGCUCACCUUGUGGGUUUGCAUCUCCCAUGGAUCAUUGUCCAUUGCCUAUGUCCAGUACCUUGAGCGGGUUGUUCAUGUGUUUUGUGUAACUUUUUUUUUUAAAACUAUUUAGAAGUUUAUAAUAAGUGUAUAAAUUUACUAGCUUUCACAAUCAUUGAAGAAAUUCACUCUAGCAAUAAUAAAUAUAUACAAGUACUUAAGCUGACACAAGAUUUCAACAUAUAAAGCACAUAAAAAUUUCUUACCACUAUUGUGCUUAGAAUCCCUACCUAUAUUAUAAACUGAAUAUAAAAAUAUUAACAAUAAAUACAAUGGCAUCUUUCUGAUUUGAUAUGAUAAUACUUGCCAGGUUACUCGAUCAACAACCACAUAAUUUCAGAGAGGCCAAAAACUGUCAGAAUAGCUACUUGUCUCUUUGGCUUUUUAAAGGUCAAGGUUGAAUCAGAGGCAAAUAGAAAAUAAUGAAUAUGAGGUUAAAACUGUAUUUUGGUACAUACCACAGACACACCACACAUACAUACCACACAUGAAUACCCACACACACCCCACACGUAUCAUAUUGUCUCCUGGAUUGAAUGGCCCAUGCAAUAAAGAUGCACGUACACCAUUAGGUAGAUAGAUAUAGAUGGGUAGAUUGUCCUAGUUUCUCUUUUAGUAAUUGAAUUUUAUUUUUUUAAAUCAAAGCUAUAUAUAUGCAUAGUUUCAUAACUCAAGUAAAGGUAACACAACUUUAUGAAUAAGACUGCACUUCCACAACACCACAAUGAAGCAACUAUAUCCCCCUCUCCUCAUUUUUGGGUCUACUUUGAACAAUUUCAACUGGGCCCAUGUGUCAAAGGGGAUGUAGGAUCUAACCAACAUAUACUACCAGGAGCCAUGGAACCUGGGUCCUGAGAGCUGGCUAAGAUGCAGUUUGCAUUCAUGUAGGACUCCACUCUCCCAUCAUAAUAUGGUCUGAGGAGAUCUAGACCAUCUGAACAUCCCACAGAAUAUCACGCUAACCUACUAUAUUUAUAGCAUCAUAUUAAUUAGGUCAGAUAAACAAUAAGCUAGUGUGUUACACUCCAAAGAUGGAAAAUAAUCACUAAUACAGUCCAGCAACCUGUUACAAUAGUGAAAUUUUUAGGGCUGCUGGUCUGCUUGAAUGCUAAGAUAUCUCCUUCACAGUAAAGAAUAAGUUUUUGCAUCUCUCCCACACAUCAAUACUCCUGGAUGACAAGAAAGGCCAGAGGAAAUGAACAGGUAGCACAGGCAGGUGGCCCAGACUCCUGUGUCAUAUUUAUAACUCUUGCAUCAGUGCCUUCCCUCAGCUCACAAUUAUGGCCACUUGAGAGGCUCUUCUGUCUUGCUGAUGAAGGACAGAAAUGCACAGCUAAGUUAAUUGAUAGGUUUUCUUGGAAUAUGGGUUCAAACAAAAAAAUAGACUGCUGCUACCCUACAGCCCUCUUCAGAAGUGAGGGGAGUCCUCCCAAAAGGCAAAAUUGGCAAUAUUUCUGGUUCUCCACUUUGUAUGGAAAGAGAAGUGGCCUGAAGUAAGAAUAUACCUUUAUGGCAAAUGUCAGAUAGGUUGACGAGUUGAUCAGGGCCCUGGAGUGGGAAAGAUUAGAUCAGGGACAAGGAAGCCGGGAGAAGAGGCAGUGGAAAAAUCUCUGGGAUUGGAACAUGAGUAAACAUCUUUGUAUUGCAGAACAGUGCCUACCAGAGACCUGCACCGUGCAAGAGGAACUGAACAAGUAAACAAAAAGACUUGGCCAGUUAAUUUUAGCAGUUGUAGUCAUGAGCUACCCCAAUAGCAUAAUGGGCUCAUGAAUAAAGUCAUGUUCAGGGAUGUAGGUUAUCAAGAUGCCAACAGCAUGGCCUCUACUCACCAAGGAGCCACUCCCUAGUAUUCAGUACUGAGCCCUUGGAACAACACCAUCCCUCAAGGAAAACAAACAGCUAAUUGGUAGCAAGUGGAUUACAUUGGACUUUGGUCACAGAAGGGCAGUGAUUCACUUUGACCAGAAUCUUCCCAUCUGCAUGUAUGAGUUUGCCUUUUCUGCCCACAAGAUGUUGGCCAGCAUCACUAUCCAAGGGCUUACAAGUGUGUGAUCCAUCUGUAUGUAUCCUACGUAAUAUUGCCUCUGACCUAGGGAUCUGAUUUACAGCAAAGGUGUUUCAGUGGACACAUGACCAUGUGACUCACCAGUCCUAUCACAUCCUAGAAAAUGCUGGCCUGGUAGAGUGGUGGAAAAACUUUUUGACACCAGACCAAAGCUUGGAGAUAAUGCCCAGUGAAUGAGAUGCCAUCCAUCAGGAUGCAGUAUACACUCUAAACACCUAUUACAUAGUCCAUGUCCCAUAUAGAUAGAAAAUGCACAGCUAGGACUGAAAGGGUAGAAAUAGGAGAAUUCCUACUAUGGUGGGCUACAUAAUGCCUCCCCCAAAUAUGUCCAUGUUCUGUAAAUAUGUUAUCUUACAAGGUAAAAGGGACUUUGCAGAUGUGAUUAAGAAUCUCAAAAUGGGGGGGGGGGGCGCCUGGGUGGCUCAGUCGUUAAGCGUCUGCCUUCAGCUCAGGUCAUGAUCCCAGGGUCCUGGGAUCGAGCCCCGCAUCGGGCCUCCCUGCUCUGCGGGAGGCCUGCUUCUCCCUCUCCCACUCCCCCUGCUUGUGUUCCCUCUCUCGCUGUCUCUCUCUCUGUCAAAUAAAUAAAAUAAAAUCUCUAAAAAAAAGAAAAAGAAUCUCAAAAUGGGGAAGGUAUCCUGGAUUAUCCAGGUUGGCCCAAUAUAAUCUCAGAGGUCCUUAUGAGAGGGAGGUAAUACAAGUAGGAGGAGGUGUGAUGACUGAAGCAGGAUGCAGUAAUGUAAGGAAGGGGCCACAAGCCAAGGAAUGCAGGCAGCCUCUGGAAACUGAGAAAGGCAGGGAAAUGGAUUCUGCCCCAGGAUGCUUCAGGAGGAACAGAGUUGUUGACACCGUGAUUGUAGACUUCUGACCUCCAUAACUGAGAAUAAAUUUAUGCGGUUUCAAGCCACUAAGUUUGUGGUUAUUUGUUACAGCAGCAAUAGGAAGGUAACACACCCACUUCCUGUCCCCACAGGCCCACCCACGGAGUUUGUGCCUCCCAUCCCCACAACUUUGUGAGACUAGAGGGCUGGUUCCUAAUUGGGGAACUGUUUCAUCAGGAGAUAAAGUAAUAGACCCUUUAAGCUUUAACCUACUGAAGUUUCCCAGUCACAUCAGGCUCCUUGUGCUUAAGAGACCAGCAGGCGAGGAGGAGUCCCCAUUCUGGGUGGGGAUAAGUGAAUGGGAUCAUGAGGAGGAAGUAGGGUUAUUGUCAUGAUUGUCACACAGGGAGGGCAGGAAGGCGUAUAUUUCAUGCUUACUCCAUCCACCAGGGCGUCUCUUGACACUUCCCUACCCAAUGUCAAGAGUAAAAUGAGCAACUUCCAAAACGAUGGAAUAAGGACCUCUGAAAACUGGCCUCUCCAUAAAAGCAAUAAGAACACUGGCAAAAAUUGUCAAAAUCAACAUUUUUUUUUUUUUAGAACUCUAGAAACUAAAGGCUUGCCACAAUCUGAAGAGCAUUUAUUUUAAAAACUGCUAAAUCUUGAUUAAAAAGGGCAGCUUCUGGCAUUCUAACAUGUCCUAUUCCUGCCCCCCCAUCUCUAAUACAAGUUAAAUUGUUCUUAACUGUAGGGAGAAUGCUUCCAGGAUCAUUCACCCUUAAGUGAUAUGCAGCCUUUGUUAGACCCAUUAUAUUGCUGUUUUUUUUUUAUCCUGCACUGUAGUGACACUUUUAUCAUAAAUCAGGUGACCGUAUAUGUGGGGCUGUUUCUAGACUACCUUGUUCCACAGUCCGUUUUUCUAUCCAAGCACCAAUACCAUCCUGUUUAAAUUACUCUAUCUUUACAAUAGGUCCUGAUAUCUGAUACUGUAUGUCCUUCAACUCUGUUCUUUAAGAUUCCCUUAUUCUUGACCUUUUGCAUUUUCUUAUGAAUUUUAAAAUCAGCUUGUCAA